GACGUAGGGCGCGAGCGUUGUCCGGAUUUAUUGGGCGUAAAGAGCUCGUAGGCGGCUUGUCGCGUCGACUGUGAAAUCCCGCGGCUCAACUGCGGGUCUGCAGUCGAUACGGGCAGGCUAGAGUUCGGUAGGGGAGACUGGAAUUCCUGGUGUAGCGGUGAAAUGCGCAGAUAUCAGGAGGAACACCAAUAGCGAAGGCAGCUCGCUGGGACGUUACUGACACUGAGGCGCGAAAGCGUGGGGAGCGAACAGG
rnacentral:rRNA from 1 species